rnacentral:rRNA from 1 species
CCUACGGGAGGCAGCAGUGGGGAAUUUUGGACAAUGGGCGCAAGCCUGAUCCAGCAAUGCCGCGUGAGUGAAGAAGGCCUUCGGGUUGUAAAGCUCUUUUGUCAGGGAAGAAACGGUGGGGGCUAAUAUCUCCUACUAAUGACGGUACCUGAAGAAUAAGCACCGGCUAACUACGUGCCAGCAGCCGCGGUAAUACGUAGGGUGCAAGCGUUAAUCGGAAUUACUGGGCGUAAAGCGUGCGCAGGCGGUUUUGUAAGUCUGUCGUGAAAGCCCCGGGCUCAACCUGGGAAUUGCGAUGGAGACUGCAAGGCUUGAAUCUGGCAGAGGGGGGUAGAAUUCCACGUGUAGCAGUGAAAUGCGUAGAGAUGUGGAGGAACACCGAUGGCGAAGGCAGCCCCCUGGGUCAAGAUUGACGCUCAUGCACGAAAGCGUGGGGAGCAAACAGGAUUAGAUACCCUGGUAGUCCACGCCCUAAACGAUGUCUACUAGUUGUCGGGUUUUAAUUAACUUGGUAACGCAGCUAACGCGUGAAGUAGACCGCCUGGGGAGUACGGUCGCAAGAUUAAAACUCAAAAGGAAUUGACGG